GAGUUAGUAGUUUAAUUGGUCAAAUACUUUCUUGUCGAGAAAGAAGAUGCCGGAUCGUGCCCGGUCUAACUCG
rnacentral:tRNA from 1 species